GCGAUACAGGGUGACAGCCCCGUACACAAAAAUGCACAUAUUGUGAGCUCGAUGAGUAGGGCGGGACACGUGGUAUCCUGUCUGAAUAUGGGGGGACCAUCCUCCAAGGCUAAAUACUCCUGACUGACCGAUAGUGAACCAGUACCGUGAGGGAAAGGCGAAAAGAACCCCGGCGAGGGGAGUGAAAAAGAACCUGAAACCGUGUACGUACAAGCAGUGGGAGCCUCUUAAUGGGGUGACUGCGUACCUUUUGUAUAAUGGGUCAGCGACUUAUAUUCUGUAGCAAGGUUAACCGAAUAGGGGAGCCGAAGGGAAACCGAGUCUUAACUGGGCGUUAAGUUGCAGGGUAUAGACCCGAAACCCGGUGAUCUAGCCAUGGGCAGGUUGAAGGUUGGGUAACACUAACUGGAGGACCGAACCGACUAAUGUUGAAAAAUUAGCGGAUGACUUGUGGCUGGGGGUGAAAGGCCAAUCAAACCGGGAGAUAGCUGGUUCUCCCCGAAAGCUAUUUAGGUAGCGCCUCGUGAAUUCAUCUCCGGGGGUAGAGCACUGUUUCGGCAAGGGGGUCAUCCCGACUUACCAACCCGAUGCAAACUGCGAAUACCGGAGAAUGUUAUCACGGGAGACACACGGCGGGUGCUAACGUCCGUCGUGAAGAGGGAAACAACCCAGACCGCCAGCUAAGGUCCCAAAGUCAUGGUUAAGUGGGAAACGAUGUGGGAAGGCCCAGACAGCCAGGAUGUUGGCUUAGAAGCAGCCAUCAUUUAAAGAAAGCGUAAUAGCUCACUGGUCGAGUCGGCCUGCGCGGAAGAUGUAACGGGGCUAAACCAUGCACCGAAGCUGCGGCAGCGACACUAUGUGUUGUUGGGUAGGGGAGCGUUCUGUAAGCCUGUGAAGGUGGCCUGUGAGGGUUGCUGGAGGUAUCAGAAGUGCGAAUGCUGACAUAAGUAACGAUAAAGCGGGUGAAAAGCCCGCUCGCCGGAAGACCAAGGGUUCCUGUCCAACGUUAAUCGGGGCAGGGUGAGUCGACCCCUAAGGCGAGGCCGAAAGGCGUAGUCGAUGGGAAACAGGUUAAUAUUCCUGUACUUGGUGUUACUGCGAAGGGGGGACGGAGAAGGCUAUGUUGGCCGGGCGACGGUUGUCCCGGUUUAAGCGUGUAGGCUGGUUUUCCAGGCAAAUCCGGAAAACCAAGGCUGAGGCGUGAUGACGAGGCACUACGGUGCUGAAGCGACAAAUGCCCUGCUUCCAGGAAAAGCCUCUAAGCAUCAGGUAACAUCAAAUCGUACCCCAAACCGACACAGGUGGUCAGGUAGAGAAUACCAAGGCGCUUGAGAGAACUCGGGUGAAGGAACUAGGCAAAAUGGUGCCGUAACUUCGGGAGAAGGCACGCUGAUAUGUAGGUGAAGCGACUUGCUCGUGGAGCUGAAAUCAGUCGAAGAUACCAGCUGGCUGCAACUGUUUAUUAAAAACACAGCACUGUGCAAACACGAAAGUGGACGUAUACGGUGUGACGCCUGCCCGGUGCCGGAAGGUUAAUUGAUGGGGUUAGCGGCAACGCGAAGCUCUUGAUCGAAGCCCCGGUAAACGGCGGCCGUAACUAUAACGGUCCUAAGGUAGCGAAAUUCCUUGUCGGGUAAGUUCCGACCUGCACGAAUGGCGUAAUGAUGGCCAGGCUGUCUCCACCCGAGACUCAGUGAAAUUGAACUCGCUGUGAAGAUGCAGUGUACCCGCGGCAAGACGGAAAGACCCCGUGAACCUUUACUAUAGCUUGACACUGAACAUUGAGCCUUGAUGUGUAGGAUAGGUGGGAGGCUUUGAAGUGUGGACGCCAGUCUGCAUGGAGCCGACCUUGAAAUACCACCCUUUAAUGUUUGAUGUUCUAACGUUGGCCCGUAAUCCGGGUUGCGGACAGUGUCUGGUGGGUAGUUUGACUGGGGCGGUCUCCUCCUAAAGAGUAACGGAGGAGCACGAAGGUUGGCUAAUCCUGGUCGGACAUCAGGAGGUUAGUGCAAUGGCAUAAGCCAGCUUGACUGCGAGCGUGACGGCGCGAGCAGGUGCGAAAGCAGGUCAUAGUGAUCCGGUGGUUCUGAAUGGAAGGGCCAUCGCUCAACGGAUAAAAGGUACUCCGGGGAUAACAGGCUGAUACCGCCCAAGAGUUCAUAUCGACGGCGGUGUUUGGCACCUCGAUGUCGGCUCAUCACAUCCUGGGGCUGAAGUAGGUCCCAAGGGUAUGGCUGUUCGCCAUUUAAAGUGGUACGCGAGCUGGGUUUAGAACGUCGUGAGACAGUUCGGUCCCUAUCUGCCGUGGGCGCUGGAGAACUGAGGGGGGCUGCUCCUAGUACGAGAGGACCGGAGUGGACGCAUCACUGGUGUUCGGGUUGUCAUGCCAAUGGCACUGCCCGGUAGCUAAAUGCGGAAGAGAUAAGUGCUGAAAGCAUCUAAGCACGAAACUUGCCCCGAGAUGAGUUCUCCCUGACUCCUUGAGAGUCCUGAAGGAACGUUGAAGACGACGACGUUGAUAGGCCGGGUGUGUAAGCGCAGCGAUGCGUUGAGCUAACCGGUACUAAUGAACCGUGAGGCUUAACCUUACAACGCCGAAG
rnacentral:rRNA from 1 species